rnacentral:rRNA from 1 species
AUUGAACGCUGGCGGCAUGAUUUACACAUGCAAGUCGAACGGUAACAGGCCGCAAGGUGCUGACGAGUGGCGCACGGGUGAGUAAUGCAUCGGAACGUGCCCAGUCCUGGGGGAUAACUACUCGAUAGAGUAGCUAAUACCGCAUACGAUCUAUGGAUGAAAGCGGGGGACCGUAAGGCCUCGCGCGUUUGGAGCGGCCGAUGUCAGAUUAGGUAGUUGGUGGGGUAAAGGCUCACCAAGCCAACGACCUGUAGCUGGUCUGAGAGGACGACCGGCGACACUGGGGUUGGGACACGGCCCAGAAUCCUACGGGAGGAAGCAGUGGGGAAUUUUGGACAAUGGGAGCAAGCCUGAUCAAGCAAUGCAGCGUGCAGGAAAAGGGCCUUCGGGUUGAAAGCUGCUUUUGUACGGAACGAAGCGGCUCUGGUUAAUACCCGGAGCUAAUGACGGUACCGUAAGAAUAAGCACCGGCUAACUACGUG